rnacentral:rRNA from 1 species
CAUGCAGUCGAACGGUAGCACAGAGAGCUUGCUCUCGGGUGACGAGUGGCGGACGGGUGAGUAAUGUCUGGGAAACUGCCUGAUGGAGGGGGAUAACUACUGGAAACGGUAGCUAAUACCGCAUAACGUCGCAAGACCAAAGAGGGGGACCUUCGGGCCUCUUGCCAUCAGAUGUGCCCAGAUGGGAUUAGCUAGUAGGUGGGGUAACGGCUCACCUAGGCGACGAUCCCUAGCUGGUCUGAGAGGAUGACCAGCCACACUGGAACUGAGACACGGUCCAGACUCCUACGGGAGGCAGCAGUGGGGAAUAUUGCACAAUGGGCGCAAGCCUGAUGCAGCCAUGCCGCGUGUAUGAAGAAGGCCUUCGGGUUGUAAAGUACUUUCAGCGGGGAGGAAGGGAGUAAGGUUAAUAACCUUGUUCAUUGACGUUACCCGCAGAAGAAGCACCGGCUAACUCCGUGCCAGCAGCCGCGGUAAUACGGAGGGUGCAAGCGUUAAUCGGAAUUACUGGGCGUAAAGCGCACGCAGGCGGUCUGUCAAGUCGGAUGUGAAAUCCCCGGGCUCAACCUGGGAACUGCAUUCGAAACUGGCAGGCUGGAGUCUUGUAGAGGGGGGUAGAAUUCCAGGUGUAGCGGUGAAAU